rnacentral:rRNA from 1 species
ACUCAAAUGAAUUGACGGGGACCCGCACAAGCAGUGGAUUAUGCGGAUUAAUUCGAUGCAACGCGAAGAACCUUACCAGGGUUUGACAUGCCAAGAAUCUCCCAGAAAUGGGAGAGUGCCUGCAAAGGAACUUGGACACAGAUGGUGCAUGGCUGUCGUCAGCUCGUGCCGUGAGGUGUAUGGUUAAGUCCCAUAACGAGCGCAACCCUCGUCUUUAGUUGCCUUUAUGGUUCUCUAAAGAGACUGCCAGUGUAAGCUGGAGGAAGGUGAGGAUGACGUCAAGUCAGCAUGCCUCUUACACCCUGGGCGUCACGCGUAAUACAAUGGUUGGGACAAUCAGUAGCGAUCCUGUGAAGGCUAGCCAAUCUGUUAAACCCAACCCCAGUUCGGAUUGUAGUCUGAAACUCGACUACAUGAAGCCGGAAUUGCUAGUAAUCGCCAAUCAGCAGGGUGGCGGUGAAUACGUUCCCGGGUCUUGUACACACCGCCCGU